rnacentral:rRNA from 1 species
CCUACGGGAGGCAGCAGUGAGGAAUAUUGGUCAAUGGACGCAAGUCUGAACCAGCCAUGCCGCGUGCAGGAUGACGGCUCUAUGAGUUGUAAACUGCUUUUGUACGGGGGUAAACUCAGAUACGCGUAUCUGUCUGAAAGUAUCGUACGAAUAAGGAUCGGCUAACUCCGUGCCAGCAGCCGCGGUAAUACGGAAGGUUCAAGCGUUAUCCGGAUUUAUUGGGUUUAAAGGGUGCGUAGGCGGUCGGAUAAGUUAGACGUGAAAUGCCGAGGCUCAACGUCGGAAUUGCCGCUGAUACUGGUCGGCUAGAGAGUAGUGGCGGUAGGCGGAAUGUAUGGUGUAGCGGUGAAAUGCUUAGAGAUCAUACAGAACACCGAUUGCGAAGGCAGCUUACCAAGCUACUUCUGACGUUGAGGCACGAAAGCGCGGGUAGCAAACAGGAUUAGAUACCCGAGUAGUC